rnacentral:lncRNA from 1 species
UCGGUCAAUUGAGGCAGCCAAAGUUGUUUGUGCUCAUACGAUUUUUGUUGGCUACAGGCGAGAUAACUUGCGAUAGAGAAUGCUAUAUAGUACCAAUAACGCGUUUCAGCCGGGCGAGAUAUUAUGUUUGGUCCGUUACACACACACGCACACACGGACAUGGGCAAUCCUACAGGUUGGGGCCCCCCUGGGCGCUUCGCGCUGGGGCCCCGCCCAAAAAUAGUAAAUACAAGUUAUGUGCCUGCCAACAACGAUUUCACCGAAUUUCGCCCGCCGCGCAACGUUAGCACCGACGGCACCCACGCACGCAUUGUCAGCUGACAUUCACAUUGCCUUAACCUCCUCAAGCUUGUCGGGGUGUGACACGUGGGCAUGAACCUUGUGACAAUGGGCAUUGUCACAAAGAAACUGGUUGCAAUCAGAAAUGCAUUUUUGCUCAUGCCAGGUUACCGACAUCGGUUACCGAUUACUGGGGACGGUUAACGGAUAACGGUUUGCCCGGUUAUCCUACCGACCGGUUACCCAUCUCGUUAACUGGACCCGUUAGGUCGGAACCGGGCCGGAACCGGCCUGGAGUAUGCCAUUGGGCAGCAAACGCGCGCAGAAUAACUCCUCAGCAUGGGUGCGGCCCCAACAACUUUCGCACCAUUCGCGCCCUCCCGUCGUUGAUUACAUUGGGACACAGCAGGCGAUGCGCAAACCUGCGGGCAGCAAAAAAGGAUAAGAAUAGCAUCGUGCACAUAUACACCACGUCACAAGCAAUGCAGCCUCUGGCCAAGCCGUACACGCAUCGCAGAUGCAUGGGUGGGGUUCUAGCUAAUGCGAGCGACGCACGCUUGUGUGCUAAUGAUGAGGGCAGGUGGUAGCCGUGAUGGCAUCCGUACAUAAAUUAGGAUCCGGUUCCUUCGGAGGCUGAAUGAGAUGCGGACAUGCCCUAAUGGGCUGGCAGCAUUAUUAAUCCAUAUUGGAUCAUUAUUAUGGCGUACGCAUAGCCAUGCCCGCCGCUGUAUAUGUGCCGGAAGGGGGCCGGGUAUCGCUGGCCCACCGUACCGCUAGGUUUUGGCACUACUGGUAACGCACGACCAUUGCCCUCGGGAGAUCCAGGGAUCGAGAUUCCGUAGGGGUCAAUAAUACCCUUUCGAUGGUGGAAGGCAUUGCGCCCUGCGACCCGGCAGAUUCCGUUGGAUGCUGGUGGUGGGUGCGGAACCUGAGCGAUCCACUGAGAAAUUGACUAGGGUGACUGGAUGAGGGUGCCCCGAAAUACCGGGGAAGGCAGGGUUUCGCAGGGUAGCUGCCACGGGCGAAGAUAUACCCCCCUGUUUCACACAUCAUACAUGCAUGUUUUACAUACAUACAUGCAUGUUAUACAUACAUACAUGCAUGUUUUACAUACAUACAUACAUGUUUUACAUACAUACAUACAUGCAUGUUUUACAUACAUACAUGCAUACACAACCAAAAUGUCCGGGCAUGAACUGGAACAACACCCAAACCUGUGGCGUGGAAAUGUUAGGAGUCUUGACGCACACGCACACACACGGUUAAUAAGGUUACAUAAGGAUACCUAGCUCCUAGUUGUUUAUUAUUACAUACCAUUGAAGGCCGUGUCGUCUCCACCGCCCUGCAAGGUAGUGCAUUGGUGCGUGUUGCAUUAUUCACGUUGUGCGGAAACGGGAAACGGGGGAACCAAUAAUGAUAACCUCGCGGGCACGGUGAAUGUAUGGCACGGUGACAUGUGGUGGCUGGGUCAUCAUGCAUCAUCAGCAAGAAGCAUUCACAAGUGAUGCAUAUGCACGUGCAAACAGCUCGCUCAUUCCACAGUGCGAAAAUUUAUGCAUGCGCAUCCAAAUAUAUUGUGCUAACACGAGGGCUGGACUACAAUAAUCAAUAAAAGCAGCAGCUCCCAAUUUCGUUCAAGCCGGUCAAUAAUGCCUCACGCACUUGGCUGCCCUCCCAGCGUGCCUCGGCCCCACAUAUGAAGCUGUUACCGGGACAAGCCACCCAAUCGGUCCAUCUGCAUGCAGACCAGAUGCGGGGUGUGGGGCGAAGAGUACAAACAUACUACUAUGUAGUGCCCUGUAGGCACGACUGGUAAGGCACGGACCAAUGCCCCCGGGAGAAUCUCCCGGGGAGAUCCCGGGAUCGAGACAUAUCUGGAUAGAAAAUAUUUCUUAUGGUGAAAGGCAUAGUGCUACUGGACGACGGACAGUUGUGACCUGAUAUAAAAAAUAACCUGCGAGCCGACCAGGAAUGGAGUUGAACUGCCGUCGUUCCGGCAGAUUCCAUUGGAUGCUAAACAAAGUUCGAUUUGUAUCUGGUGCGGAUUAGCAGGAGGUGACCGUUAACUAUCAAGGUCAUGCAUGCCCUCCCCUGCUAGAGGGGGAUUAAUAUUGUACUCUGUGCGUAUCACGGGAUCCGCAUCUGCCGAUCGGUAUCUUUUUAAAGUCGUGAUAUGAAAAGUGGUAUCGAGCAGGUAUUCUGUUCGAAUCUCAGUUGUAGCGGUUUCUGUCGAGCGGAAGGUGGCGGGGCCUGCAACCGCUGGUUAUCCCGUGGGUGCAUCCACUACACAGGGACCCUAGGGUCGACAAGAGGUCGAGGACGCCCCCACGACUUCCGUAUAUAUAAUACCGUUUGGCGGAUGCAGCUCCCGUGAUACAACCAACGGCGGCGCGAUUAUAUCCUCCCCCUGCUGGACACGGACGUCCACGCACGGCUGCCCCCCCUUCUGGUGAGUGA